GGCCCUAUCGUCUAACGGUUAGGACAGCGCCCUUUCACGGCGUAAAUCGGGGUUCGAUCCCCCGUAGGGUCACAA
rnacentral:tRNA from 7 species